AGAAUUUCACAAAACAACUCCUAUGAUGCCCUUUUCGAUUCCCGUUUUGCGUAAGUUUUCCACUGUUGUGAUCACCGUGUCCUUUUUUAUAGGUUGACCAGAGCAAAACACCCAACCGCAACGUGAGCCAGAGGAACCGUUGCACUGGAGAGCGCCGCCGCCGGCGAAUUUCGGUUUUUUGUAUUUCUUCGGCCAACCAAGGCCCUUUAACGUAU
rnacentral:lncRNA from 1 species